rnacentral:lncRNA from 1 species
UUCAUCUAUCUCACUCGUUUAUGUGCCAAUUUACAUAUCUUUUUUUUGCUUACUUGUGAAGUUUAGAUUUGUUUGAUAUGCAUCUGCUUUGCGAUCUCAUUAUGUAGUUUGAUUUUCAUCUAGUUUCUGAUUUUUGACUUUGACGUGAAUAGAAAUCAAAUCUGAUGGUUAUUUUUGGUAGGAAAUCAAAUCUGAUGCUAAGAUUUGUUGUAGUCAAGGUGUGGAUUGCUUUAAAAAGUCAGAUUUAUAUUUUUGGGAUUCUGAUGAUUAUGUUCUAAAUUAAGAAUUCGCAUUUUCAAAUAAGAAUUUGUACAUUCCACUGCAUAGUUAUUUUUGGAAUCUGCUGAGAAGUGUGUUAGUUGAUGAGUUUAGUCAUGUUGUUGCAUAUUCAUGGUUAUGGAAGUUUAUGCCCUGCUGAAAAAAAAUUCUGAUAUGUUUGCUAAUUGCUACCUAUUCCCGCCUUCACAUGAUGAUCUAGGAUCUGAUAAAGAAUAGAAGAUUCGGAGUGGAAAGAAGGAAAACUACUUUUCUUAAACUAUUUUGUAGUAUGACCUUAGCCAAACUUAAGACACACAGUGCUUGGAGGAAUUAGCUUGAGACCAAAUGGGGCAUCAAGUUAACAUUUUUUUUUUGUUUUGACCUGGUAUUUCUUCAUUUUUUUUUUCAGUGGUGCCUUUGACCUUCCACUCUAUUAAUAUGCAACAUUGGUUGAAUUAUUCAGCAUUUGAACCUACUAACUCCAUCGAUCCAGAUUUGUAUCGUAUAACUAAAGAGGACCCUCUAACAUGAGUUUCUCCAUCAUGCAGCAUGUUAUGUGUGAGAUUGAGAUAGAUAGCUUGGGAUGUCUGAUUUUGUUAAAUUCAAUCAGUACAAGUUAUCGAAGAGUCUCUCAAAGCUCAAAAGCAUGAAAAUGUGUUGCAUCCCUUGUACAAAAAAAGGGUGAAAAUAUGAUGCAUCCUUAUUCUGCCCUAGAACUCUUUUCCUAGCGUCAAUUAUGGAUCUAAUAAUCAUGUCAUGACAGGAUAAUAGAUUAAUAGUAUCACAAUUAGCUGUUUUGUACUGCCUACAUAACUUUGAUAGAUAGGAAAAUCCUACUUACAAAAAAAUGAAAUAAAUGGAUAGAAAACUCACGUAUUAUUACUGAUAAAAAUCAUGUGUUGAUUGCACUGAGCAUGAAGCAAUUACAUAGGGCUUGGUUAGAUCUGUUUACUGAAUUGGCUGUAUAAAUAAUGUCAUUUGUUUUAUUCACUGUACUUGUUUCUCCACCAUUUUUUUUAAAAAUAAAAAUCCUCAUGUUGCCUACCAUAUCUUUCUUUAUUUUCAAGAUAUUUUUAAAUUUAAUGACGGAAUGAGCUCUCUUUUCUUGCAAUAUGUCUUUUUACUGGAGUUGAGUUGAACUCAUGUAACUAGGAUAAAUGCUUUUUAUUUUUUUUUGAAAAUGGUAAUUGUUUCUAUUUUGGAAUUCCCUUCUAUUUUUGUAGAACAGUACAUAGGUUGAAAAUGAUAAAUGCUUCUUAUUAACAUGAGGUGAUUUAAUGGGGAAGUUCUGUGAUUAUAUGGGGUAACUUAGGUGAUUUUAUUUGGAAGCUCCCUGUUAUAUGGGACAACUUAUCUUAAUCAGUUAAUAAAUAUAAGAUAGUAUUCAAGAAGUGUUGUCCUGAUCAUGGGAUUAUGUUGGUCCAUUCCUGCUAUUAGGUUAUAUAGGUUUUUAUGGUACAAUUUUGUCAAUGUUUUUCAGUGAGGCAGUACCAUAGUCCUUGGCUUUUGUUUUAUGAUGUGGCCAUCCCCGACUGAACACUUAUAGUGGCUCCUGUGUCAGUCUCUUUCAUUCCUCUCGUUAGACCAUCUAUAGCACUCAUAGCUACAGCCCUAACUUGAUUAUUUCCUAAUAAUUGAUGUUCGUCAUAAGCCACAUUAAUUGGUUGACCAACACUAUCAUGAUGGUCAGUGUGUCAAUCAAUCAUUAUAAGUUUCUACAGGUUGGAAAUGUCCUAAUUCAAACUCUCGAUGUUUUCAAAAUUAUUUUAUGUUUUUCAAAAUGUUCAGAUUGUAUGGAAGAAGAAAAGUAAACUUGGUGACCAGCUUCUGACCAAACAUGCUGAUCACCAAGUCUAUUUGGUUCCCAGCCAGUAGUUCUUUGUCUCCCAGUAAUGGUUCCUGAUCUUGAUGUUUGUAAUAGUUUUAGUAGCCGGGAUGAAUAUGAAUUGUUGACCUUGAGCUUUUGUGAUAUGCUUCAGCCAGUGCAAGGGGAGAGCAGAAUCCUUCUAACCUUCCUCCUUUACACACUCUUAGUUAUCUGAAUUUUGUUAUUUCACAAUAUCUUUAGGUGCUUUAUUAUUAUAAAAUGAUGCUUGGUGUCCAGGCCAGCUUGAGUGUACCUCGAGUAUUCCACUAUGUACCUGAUGCAGUGUUACUUUCCACUUGCACAUGUACUAGGUAACCUUGCCCAACCAAGGCUAAGGUGGAUGGUAUUUGAACCCUAAUCUCCAAGGUUUGCACCUACUUCAUUGACCACUAGCCCACAC